AAAAAAAAUCAAACAAAACCUCCUCCAUCUCCCUCAAAACCUACGGCCACCAUACUCCACUCCCACAUCCGUUUUUCUAGUCCAUUUCAAACCAAUCCAAGGGUGUUCUAAGGUAAAUCAAGCACAUCUAGGAAGGUUGCAAGCAAGAGGAGUUGAAGGACCACACUUAGGAGCUAUUAACCACCACUUUCUCAUCAUCUUCGUCAUCUUGUUCAUCCCUAGCCUUUGAGCUAGUAGUUGUAUUUGAAGAACCUAUCGAAACCAUGGAUCGAGAAGUUAGGGAUCGUAAGCAUAGUUGAAAUUCUAAUUGUGGGAGUUCGGUGGAACUCGUGACACGGAACAAAGUUCAUGUGGGAACGUGAGGACCCGAUGAAGCUCGGGUACCCUAACCCGUUUAAAACAGUUGAUUGAAAUCCUGAUGCAACUAACAAAUUUCGGGACGAAAUUCCUUUUCAAGUUGGGGAUGAUGUGGCACCCGAGGAAAUCCACAGUCAUCCUAGCCUAUCAUUUCACUUGCAUGAGACUACUUAUCAAAUUUCGGGACGAAAUUUCUUUCAAGUUGGGGAUGAUGUGACGACCCGAAAUCUCAAGGCCUUUAGGUACAUGGUGUUGGAACUUGUUGUCUGGGAUGCUAGAGUGGUCAUGGGUCAAGUUACAAGGAAUCACAAGACAAGUUUAAUGGCUUUUAUUCACAAUGAGUUACGAAACUUAAUGACGAUUGUUUUAUGC